UGCUAGUUGUACGAGUUCAGACUCGUAGCAAAUAGCUCCGUAACACGUGGCCAAACCACCCUUCAGAGAACGAUAACCUCGGGAAACUGAGGCUAAUAGUUCAUACCCGUUUCAGGCUGGAAUGCCGAAACGCGCAAACGUUCCGACGCUGAAGGACGUGGCUGCGGCCGAUUAGGUAGACGGUGGGGUAACGGCCCACCGUGCCGAUAAUCGGUACGGGUUGUGAGAGCAAGAACCCGGAGACGGAAUCUGAGACAAGAUUCCGGGCCCUACGGGGCGCAGCAGGCGCGAAACCUUUACACUGCACGCAAGUGCGAUAAGGGGACCCCGAGUGCGAGGGCAUACAGUCCUCGCUUUUCACUACCGUACGAUGGUAGUAGAAUAAGAGCUGGGCAAGACCGGUGCCAGCCGCCGCGGUAAUACCGGCAGCUCGAGUGAUGGCCGAUCUUAUUGGGCCUAAAGCGUUCGUAGCCGGCCAUGCAAGUUCAUCGGGAAAUCCGCCAGCCUAACUGGCGGGCGUCCGGUGAAAACUGUGUGGCUUGGGACCGGAAGACCCAACGGGUACGUCUUGGGUAGGAGUGAAAUCCUGUAAUCCUGGACGGACCACCGAUAGCGAAAGCACGUUGGGAAGACGGAUCCGACGGUGAGGGACGAAAGCCAGGGUCUCGAACCGGAUUAGAUACCCGGGUAGUCCUGGCCGUAAACGAUGUCUGCUAGGUGUGACUCCCGCUACGAGCGGGUGUUGUGCCGUAGGGAAGCCGCUAAGCAGACCGCCUGGGAAGUACGUCCGCAAGGAUGAAACUUAAAGGAAUUGGCGGGGGAGCACUACAACCGGAGGAGCCUGCGGUUUAAUUGGACUCAACGCCGGACAUCUCACCAGCAUCGACAGCAACAAUGACGACCAGGUUGAUGACCUUGUCAGAGCUGCUGAGAGGAGGUGCAUGGGCGCCGUCAGCUCGUACCGUGAGGCGUCCUGUUAAGUCAGGCAACGAGCGAGA
rnacentral:rRNA from 1 species